CGCACAGCUGCACAGCGCUGCUCAAACUCCGACCGGCUGCCUGACUGACUGACGCUACUGUGCUCCGUGAAACCGGCACUCUGAUUGGGCGAGGCGACAUCCACCUGCUGGCUCACAGUCGCUACUACCGAUACCUAAGAUCAUCCGAACUGAGGCACUGGAGCUGGAGACACGGGCAUUUGUGUCGGGAUGACGUGCUCCGAGCCAUGCUUUGGAAUGAGGAAUGCCGUUCCGCUAACUUUUUCACCUCAGCCGCUGCUACAUCGCAGACUUCUCCCCUCUGGAGUCUGGAGCAGCCGGACAGACACUUUUACCGUUCAUCAUCUCUCUCCUGUCAGAUUGCUGCGCCAUGGCUCCUCUCAUCCGGUCACUGAUAUGAUCGAUCAAGGGCUCCUCUGUCUAUCUUUGUCUGAGUCACUUAUCUCUUACAGGGCAAACUCGAGAAAAAUGAAGCUACGUCAAACUGUUAAAACAGAAAAGCAGAAAACAGUAUGGUGGACAAAAACAACCGCAAAAACUCCAGGAUGGCGUCUCGUGCGUCCAGAAAGGUUAAAGAUUCCUCUGAUGAGAGAGCAAGCAAGUACUUCCAGUGAAGUUAAAACAGAAGAGUCAGAGGACAUGAGUGACCACAGUGAAGAGAUGAGGCCCAUGUUCACAGAGCACUCAUCACCAUCAAAACAAAUCAAAGAAGACGAGAAAAGAACGUGAAGAUGAGGGGGACUGGGAGGAAGUGGAAGAAAUGGCAGAACCGCUGGGUCCUGUGGACUUGACUGAACUAGCAGUUGUGUCAAAACCAGUGGAGACUGAGAUCGAGACUCCAGACAUGGCUCGAAAGAGGCAGAGGAAGGAGAAAAGAAAAGAGAAGAGUUUAAAACUUUCCUGUGUCGAAUGAUGAAACGAUUUAACAAGGAACCGCUGGUGGGGAAGAGGAGCAGAGUGAGGAAGAGUUUCAACCAACCAGUGAGGACAACAGUGAAGACUCUGACGGGGCUAUGGAAGUAUGCAGAAAGUCGAAGGUGAAAGGAAAAGGGUCGGGCUCCUCGGAGGUCGAGUGAGGUCAAACAGGAGGAGGAGGAGGUGGUGAAGAAACAAAGAUGUAAAAGAAAGGAGGGAAAAGGGGUGGAUGAGUGGUUGGAGGGGUAUUUGGAAAGUACCAGGAAGUGGGUGUGUGGGAUGUGGAUCAAGGUGUUGGCCAAAUGCAGCUCUGCUCCAAUCGGGCGACUCAAACGAUCACUUACGUGGUGGCCGUUGAUAACGAGGGGUACCUGAAAGAUCUUAGCAGCAGGUAUGACCCCACGUGGCUGACAUCAUCACGCCGAUGACGCAUCGACUCAGAAUGGUGGAAGGAGCUCUACAAGUCUCUAGAUACUGAAGGAGGACAGAAGGAGGAUCAGGAGAGACUGUGUGCACACACUCCAUUCUAGAGAUACCUGGCUGAAGGAAGCAAGAGCUGUUUGACUAGGAGAGGAGCCGUACAAGCCAGGAUGAUGUCCGAGCAGAAAGAUGUCAGAGAUCUGCCUCUCUUUGGAGUCUGGCAAACUGAAGAGUAUACCAGCCUCUGAUCGCUGUUGAUGGCAAAGUACCACGUAAUGAGCAGCCUGGGAAAAUGAGCAAGAUAACCAGAAGCAGAAAGAACAAGAGAAACGUGAGAAGUGUGUGGUGGCUAAUUGGACACUGCUGGUCAAAGGCCUGUUAAUCAAAGAGAGGCUGAAGCGUUGCUAUGGGCAACAAAGGCUGGCAUUAGGGGCGGGGCUUAAGCAAGGCAAAGAAGGCGGGGCUGAAGGAGUGUCCUCAGAUGAGGAGGAAGAGGGCGGGGCUCAGACAGCUCCACCCUCUCUGGUUAGUUCAUUGCCACACAGGCAAUAGGAACAAGAGGAAAAGAUUUUAAGGCGUGUAACUAAACGAGAAAAACAUGGAGAAACAUCUCUUCUCUUUUGAAAAGUGUGACUAAAUCGGCCCUUUAUUAUUUCACUUUCCUUAUCUUCCUUUUAAAUGUUUUUCUGCAUUUAUAAGCAUGUACUGUAUUAUCUGUAACUGUGAGCUCUACAUCACUAUACCCAACCUUUUAUAACUGCAAUAGCUACAUAUGCAGGGAAUUUCAAAAAUGUCAGCCAUUUAUGUUUAGUAAUUUUUACAGACUGUAUAUUUGUUCUUCUAUAUCCAAAUACAUAUUUUUAUAGAACAUGCUGUUGAAAAAACAUGCAAAUAAACAAAUGGUAUGUUGCA
ensembl:lncRNA